GACGAACGCUGGCGGCGUGCUUAACACAUGCAAGUCGAACGGAAAGGCCCUGCUUUUGUGGGGUGCUCGAGUGGCGAACGGGUGAGUAACACGUGAGUAACCUGGCCUGGACUUUGGGAUAACUUCAGGAAACUGGGGCUAAUACCGGAUAGGAGCUCCUGCUGCAGGGUGGGGGUUGGAAAGUUUCGGCGGUUGGGGAUGGACUCGGGGCUUAUCAGCUUGUUGGUGGGGUAGUGGCUUACCAAGGCUUUGACGGGUAGCCGGCCUGAGAGGGUGACCGGCCACAUUGGGACUGAGAUACGGCCCAGACUCCUACGGGAGGCAGCAGUGGGGAAUAUUGCACAAUGGGCGGAAGCCUGAUGCAGCAACGCCGCGUGCGGGAUGACGGCCUUCGGGUUGUAAACCGCUUUCGCCUGUGACGAAGCGUGAGUGACGGUAAUGGGUAAAGAAGCACCGGCUAACUACGUG
rnacentral:rRNA from 1 species